UCUCUUUUUUCUCCUUCGUAGCUGGGGUUCACAAUCCGUUGCCAUCCGGACUCAGCGUUUGCCACCCGCCCUCCAGACUAACCUUGUUGUUUUCCUCUCUCUCUACAGCUUCCAUUGCGCCAUGAGAGCCAAAUGGAGGAAGAAGCGAAUGCGUAGGCUGAAACGCAAGAGGAGAAAGAUGAGGCAGAGGUCCAAGUAACCAGACUGUGCUGACCACGGAAGCCACAGGAGCAGAGAUGGAAUGACCCCUGGUGACAUUCUCAGGAAGGCAGAAACCUUUGGGAGACAUCACCCCACCCUACGAAGGACUCUACUACUAGCUCUACCACCAUCUGAUAAGGACUCUUACCACCAUCUGAAGACCUCCCUGACAAAAGGACAUGCCAUCAUUUGAUGCAAAUUCCAUCUACCUGCCUCUUGACUUUGUGUCACGGGACUUGUGUCAUUCCGGACUGGUUGUUUUCUUUGUGGUUUAAGUGUAGCACGCCUGUAUAAUAAAUCCUCACUACUUUCAUGUUUGAAAAAAU